UUCCGGUUGAUCCUGCCGGAAGCCACCGCUAUUGGAAUCCGAUUAAGACAUGUGAGUCGAGAGUCUUCGGGACUCGGCAGACGGCUCAGUAACACGCGGAUAAUCUGCCCUUAGGUGGGGAAUAAUCUCGGGAAACUGAGCAUAAUACCCCAUAGGCCUGAGAUGCUGGAACGCCCUCAGGCUAAAAGCUCCGGCGCCUAAGGAUGAGUCUGCGGCCUAUCAGCUUGUAGUUGGUGUAAAUGACCAACUAGGCGACGACGGGUACGGGCAUUGGGAGAUGUAGCCCGGAGAUGGACUCUGAGACACGAGUCCAGGCCCUACGGGGCGCAGCAGUCGCGAAAACUUCACAAUGUGGGAAACCGCGAUGAGGGGAUUCCAAGUGCUUGCGUUUUGCGUAAGCUGUUCUUCUGCCUAAAAAGCAGGGGAAGUAAGGGCUGGGUAAGACGGGUGCCAGCCGCCGCGGUAAUACCCGCAGCCCGAGUGGUGGUCGAUAUUAUUGAGCUUAAAGCGUCCGUAGCCUGUCUGGUAAAUUCUUGGGUAAAUCGUGCAGCUUAACUGUUCGAAUUCCGGGGAGACUGCCAGACUUGGGACCGGGAGAGGUUGGAGGUACUCCUGGGGUAGGGGUAAAAUCCCGUAAUCCUGGGAGGACCACCAGUGGCGAAGGCGUCCAACUGGAACGGAUCCGACGGUCAGGGACGAAGCCCUGGGUCGCGAACUGGAUUAGAUACCCAGGUAGUCCAGGGUGUAAACGCUGCAGACUUGGUGUCGGAGGUCCUACGAGGGCGUCCGGUGCCGGAGAGAAAUUGUUAAGUCUGCCGCUUGGGGAGUACGUCCGCAAGGAUGAACUUAAAGGAAUUGGCGGGAGAGCACGCAACGGAGGAGUGUGCGGUUCAUUGGAUCAACGC
rnacentral:rRNA from 1 species